CCUACGGGUGGCAGCAGUGAGGAAUAUUGGUCAAUGGACGAGAGUCUGAACCAGCCAAGUCGCGUGAAGGAUGACUGCCCUAUGGGUUGUAAACUUCUUUUAUAUGGGAAUAAAAUGUUCCACGUGUGGGAUUUUGUAUGUACCAUAUGAAUAAGGAUCGGCUAACUCCGUGCCAGCAGCCGCGGUAAUACGGAGGAUCCGAGCGUUAUCCGGAUUUAUUGGGUUUAAAGGGAGCGUAGGUGGAUUGUUAAGUCAGUUGUGAAAGUUUGCGGCUCAACCGUAAAAUUGCAGUUGAAACUGGCAGUCUUGAGUACAGUAGAGGUGGGCGGAAUUCGUGGUGUAGCGGUGAAAUGCUUAGAGAUCACGAAGAACUCCGAUUGCGAAGGCAGUUCACUGGACUGCAACUGACACUGAGGCGCGAAAGUGUGGGUAUCAAACAGGAUUAGAUACCCCUGUAGUC
rnacentral:rRNA from 1 species